UUUUAAAAACUCUGUGUUUACCUGGACUGGGCACUCAUUUCACAUAGAGAGCAAAACAUUUGUGAAGCCCCAUGAGCACAGUAUUUCAGGUGACCCACAAUUCAUGGAAUUCAACAAGAAAGAAAACAAGUACAAGGGUCAUCCUUAAUAUAAAUCCUGGACCCCAGACUUCUUACUUUCUCUUCUGAGGAACGCAACCUGUGACAGAGAAUCACUGAUCCUUUAUUGAUGAGCGUCUGGGUCACUCCAGCAGGAUAUUCACAGAUAAGUGGCGUUGCAUAUCAUAAUUCAAGUCUGCAUUUCAAGCUGAGGAAGAACUAAAGUAAGCUGGAAGAAUCUCUUCUUUAGGACCACUGAGAGUUUAAAGA